AUCACGGCUGCUUCCUCCAAGCUCUCUGAUGUAUUAGGCCUGGUGAAAAAGGGAUCAGGUACUCCUGUGGCUGAAGACCCAACAAAUUCUUCACCCUGCAUAUUACCAGCUAUAGCAAGCCCUCUCCCUCCCCAGUCUGCUAAACUAUCCG